rfam:Cicer arietinum chromosome Ca2, whole genome shotgun sequence.
GUACAUACCUGGACGGAGUCAAUGGGUGAUCAAGUAGGCCCAUGGCUUAGACUGAUGACUUCCAUUGCACACAAGGAAGGGAAUUGGUCUAAGGUCUGCCCUUUGUUGGUGGCACCUACGUCGUAAUUUGUGGUAGCGAGGGACUGCGUACGCGCGGACCCCUC